rnacentral:rRNA from 1 species
CGGGUGAGUAAUGCCUAGGAAUCUGCCUGGUAGGUGGGGACAACGUUUCGAAAGGAACGCUAAUACCGCAUACGUCCUACGGGAGAAAGCAGGGGACCGUUCGGGCCUUGCGCUAUCAGAUGAGCCUAGGUCGGAUUAGCUAGUUGGUGAGGUAAUGGCUCACCAAGGCGACGAUCCGUAACUGGUCUGAGAGGAUGAUCAGUCACACUGGAACUGAGACACGGUCCAGAUCCUACGGGAGGCAGCAGCA